CAGGCACAAUUUCCUGACUGAACAAAGCAGCCUAAUGAGAGCGACUCCAGACUGUCCUAGAGACUAGAGAGACCGCAGCGAGGGUGACGGUCCGGACCGACUGAGGUCCUUUCAUCUCCCAUCCUCCCGGCAGGGUGCGAGUCAGAGGCUGAUAGGAAACUUGACCUUCUGCCAAGAAACACCUUCUCUCCUCUGCCCUCAAGAAGGCGGCUGAUCCCACGUGCCAGGACGAUGGAGCCAAGCUUGCUGAUGUGGGGAAUCUCUACCUUCAUCACAGUAUCUGGCCACAUGACAGGCCUCUUUUUCUCGGCAGACCUUUGUGAUGACAACCCGCCGAGCCUCAAGCACGCCGUGUACAAAGCCCUCGAGUACAGCACGGGCACGAUGCUAAACUGUGGAUGUGAGAGGGGCUUCCGCCGGCUAAACAGCUUCAUGCGUUGUGCAGGAAACUCGAGCCACGCUUCCUGGGAAAACAAGUGCCAGUGCGUCCGCACAUCCUCCAAGAGCACAGGACAAGUCACUCCCAGACCUGAGGAAGAGAAGGCAAUGCAGAGCCUAACGCCGUCCGGGGACCAAGGGAAGCUUCCAGGUCACUGCAGGGAGCCUCCUUCCUGGGACCACGAAGAUUCAGAGAGAAUCUACCACUUUGUGGUGGGGCAGACGGUUCACUACCAGUGCGUGCCGGGAUUCAGGGCCCUGCGGAGAGGUUCUGCCGAGAGCGUCUGCAAAACCGUCUCAGGGAAGACCCAGUGGACGCGGCCCCAGCUCAAGUGCAUAAGUGACAGGGAGGACGGGCGGUUCCCAGCAGAUGAUGAAGAGGAGCCUGAAGCAAGCACCCUCGCGCCCCCUGGGAGAGACGCUUCCCGCCCCUGGACGACGGCAGGUACUACAGAUUUCCACGAGCACACCGAAGUGGCUACCCCGAUGGAGUCCUUCCUGUUCAUCUCCGAGUACCAGAUAGCAGUGGCCGUCUGCGUUCUCCUCCUGAUCAGCGCCCUCCUUCUGAGCGGGCUCACCUGGCAGCGGAGAUGGUGAGUCCCGUAGGGUCAGGGUCACGAAGCCCUGGCCGGAGCUGGCAGGCGGAGCCCGGUGUGCGAAGAGCUCAGGCAGAGAAGCCCUCACCCUGUCCUCCUGCUAACCAGCAGCGGUUUGGGGAGUCACAGAGAACUGGUCAACCCACACAUCCCCCAGAGCGGCCGGCAAGCGCCCAAGCAUGAGGAGAUGGGAAAGGAAAGGAAACUAGCAUUGGCUGAGCCCCUACUGUAUGCCGGGCUCCGUGCGUAUGGCUGAGCCCCUACUGUAUGCCAGGCUCCGCGUGUAUGGCUGAGCCCCUACUGUAUGCCGGGCUCCAUGCGUAUGGCUGAGCCCCUACUGUAUGCCAGGCUCCGUGUGUAUGGCUGAGCCCCUACUGUAUGCCGGGUUCGUGCGUAUGGCUGAGCCCCUACUGUAUGCCGGGUUCGUGCGUAUGGCUGAGCCCCUACUGUAUGCCGGGCUCCGUGCGUAUCUAAGGAACAUUCCCACAACCUAACUUCUCAGGACAUUUGAAAGAGCUGCAGGUUCCCCGAUCCAGCAACGCGAACGGGGUGCACGGCAGAGGCCGACAUAACAGCCCAAAUCUAGAGCCCAAGGCCUUUCUGUUCCCGUCACGUGGCCGGACGGAAACCAAGGGCAGCGUCCCCCCGAGUUUUCCUCUCCUGUGCUCCCUGCUCGACCCACUGCAGACACUCAGACCAGCACGCCCUUGGCUGGGACGUGACCCAUGUGUGGCCUUAAUUGCACUAACUCUUGUUUUCAACAGUGAUUGCCAAUUAGAACAACCAGGAGAGAGUUGUUUUUUUUGUUUGUUUGUUUUAAAUACCAAUACUUGCCCUCCAGCCAGGAUCCCUAGGACAUCAAUGCUCUUUUUUUGCCAGCUGGGAUAGAAUUCAUCAUUCUGACCAUUUUAUUUUAUUUUAAGAUUUUAUUUAUUUAUUUAACAGACAGAGAUCACAGGUAGGCAGAGAGACAGGCAGAGAGAGAGGAGGAAGCAAGUCUCCCUGCUGAGCAGAGAGCCCGAUGUAGAGCUCGAUGCCAGGACCCUGGGAUCAUGACCUGAGCCAAAGGCAGAGGCUUUAACCCACUGAGCCACCCAGGUGCCCCAUUCUGACCAUUUUAAAGUGCAUAAUUCAGUGGUUUUGGGCAAUGUUGUAUAUAUGCCACCACUGUCUCAUUAGACAUCAGAACAUUUCCAUCAUCCCAAAAGGAAACCCUGUACUCCCAAUUCCGCAUUGCCCCCAGUCCCUGAAAACCACAAGUCAGUCCACUUCCCAUCCCUGUGGAUUUGCCCGUUUGGGACAUUUCCCAUCAAUGGAACCAUACAGUGUAUGACCUUGUGUGACCGAGACACCAGUAUUUCCUUAAAGCUCCUCAGGGGCACCAAAAACACACAGGUCCAGUUUUGACAGCUCUGUGCUAGGCCGGCAGUUCCCGAACUUGAGUGGGCUUGCUCCUCAGAAGCCGCUGAAGGGCUUGUUAAAACACAGACUGCCAGGCCCUGCCUCUGGAGCUUCUGAUUCAGCAGGUCUGGGGUGGGGCCGCAGAAUCUCCAUUCCUAACCAGUUCCCAGGACAUACUGAUGCUGCUGUUCCGGGCACCUGACUUUGAGAACCGCUGCACUAGACAGAGUGUAUGAAGGUCAAGGGAGUGAAUUCGUUUCACACACACAGUCCGCUUUCUCCCUCCCUUUAGGCAGACCUCCUGUGUCCCUCUCCUGACUCUCGGGGACAUUCCUAAAGCACCACCCCCUUGCCCCCCACCAGUGUGCCAUCUAACCAACCUUGACGUGAGCUCCCUAGGGAGACCCUGAGAAGACACAGGCUCAACCCCUCCCUCAAAUCCCAGAUCCUACAGUUAGCCGAGACAGGGGAAACCAGCAGACGUCUUUGAUCAUUCUAUCGGUCAUCAGGCCCACAAAUACUCCUGACUUCCCGCCUGUGACUCGAAGAGCACCGGUUACCGAGAAGCGGGGGUAAGGCCCCUGGGGUUAUUCUAUCAGGAAUUACUCAGAGAGAGACCUGACCAUCUACCAGCUUCCCCAUUAGCUGAUUCCUGAGGCGUUGUUUUAGGAUUAUGUGCGAUGGGGUGUGUCAGGCGCUCAGGACAUUGUGGGGACUCAACAUGUGCUCUCCCCUCCCUUUGCUGGCAAGACUUAAUACCUCCUCAAGGAAAUUCUCACUCGGUAGCUUCAAGAUGCAGAGCCUUCAGACACAAAGGCAGGAAGCUAUUUGGGAGUGGCCAACAUUUGGGAUUUGUGUUGUGACGUAAAACUAGCCUAAAACUAGCUGAGUUCCUGCAAGCUCUCCCAGAAUGACUGUCUUCAGGAGACGCACACUCCUUCUCCAAACAGCAUUCUCCCACCAGGUCUCGCCAGCCCAGAAGCCUUCUUCGUCUGAUGGUGCCCUCUUGUGGCUACACAGAAAUCCUACAUGUGACUUUUUUGUUUUCCGUUUUUUGAUUUUUGGACCAAUCACUAGGGAUAAACAGCUGUUGGCUUCCCCUGACUCCUAACAACCAAAAGCCAAAAGCUGAAUUUUCAUGAAUCUUGUGAACCGUUUUCAAGCACAGCCAUUAUUGAAAAUUCAGUAUGUAAACAUAGUUACAUAGAUCAUAUUGAAAACAAAGUUAAUACAUACUGGAAAGUAGCCACUCUCUAAUUACUUAACUGCUUUAUUUGUUUUCAGGGUUAUUUCAAUCUAUUGUCUCUAUAUUAUGGAGGCAUUGCCGCACGAUCGUCUGCUGCUACUACACACCUCUUCCCAAUUCUGUGUGCUGUUGUGUCACGUUGGUAGCUAGAAACUGGGCUUGGUGGGAGUCCUGGCACCACGGAAACAAGCCAACUUUUUCAAAGAGCUGGUUGUUAAUCAUUUACCAGCACGCUGUUCUCACAGCCUUGCCCCAUGUGAGCUCCCAGGACGUAGGAAGAGAUCAGACAUUCCUGUGGACUCAGUAAGGGCUGGGGAAGGUCUAGGACUACGCUGUCCAACACACUAGCCACUGGCCACACGGUGGAUAUUUAAGCCUAAACUUAAAUAAAUGAAACAACAUUAAAAAUUCAUUUCAUCAGUGACACUAGCCCCAUGUCCAGUGUUCAGUAGCCACAGAUGGCCACCUCAUUGGACAACGCAGAUACAAAACAUUUCCGUCAUCAGAAAGUUCUUACAGGGGGCGCCUGGGUGGCUCAGUGGGUUAAGGCCUCUGCCUUUGGCUCAGGUCAUGAUCCCAGGGUCCUGGGAUCGAGCCCCGCAUCAGGCUCUCUGCUCAGUACAGAGCUGGCUAGAAAUGGUGCUAUCAAUUCAUGAAAGUCACUUAGCACAGUUACUAUUAUUAUUCCUUUUCUGCACCUACUGCCCCCCCACAUAUCUCAAAAAAAUGUAUAGAAUAUCUCUUAUAUAGAUGUUGAUCAAAGACCACAAGCUUGCAGUUAACACAAAUGAGUUCUGGGGAUCGAAUACACAGCAUAGAGAUCAUGGGCAAUAAUCCUGUAUUCUAUAUUUCAAAGUUGCUAGGAGACUAGAUCUUAAAUGUUCUCCUCGCAAAGAAGAAAUGAUGGUUAUAUGACACAGUGGAGGUGUUUGCUAGUGCUGCGGCGGUAACCGUGUUGCAAUAUAGUGAUACAGUGUGUUAAAAAUACAUAAACAUGUUGUAUGCCACAAACUUAUACCAUGUUACUGUCAAUCGUAUCUUAAUUUAAAAAACAAACACUAUCUCAAGAACAUCUGCUACGUGCCAAGCACUAGCUAGGCCUAAAGAUGAAUAGGAAGAGGAAAAAGACAGCUCAAGUACAAAUUUUUAAAGCCCAAGAUUGAGGGGUGAUAUAGGAGCAAAAAGAAAGGACACUUGAUCCCACGCGGGGGUGUCAACAAGAGUAGACGGUGCCUACAGCCGGAUACAGGAAGUUGCGAGAUGUCUGCUCAGCGGCGGGGAGCACGGGGAGAGGUAACUCGGUGUGGAUGGACGUGACAGUGUCCGGGAGAAGCCAGGCAGCUCUGAACAUCAGGUUGUGAGGUGCGUGGGUAGCAGGGACGGCCGUGCUGUGGGGACGGACGGUGACCACAUCAUGGAAGCCCAGGUCAGCCAGAGGGGCCCAGACCCCAUCUGAGGGAAAACAGCCACAGAAGCUUGACCUGGGGACAAAUGGUAGCACUGGCCCUUCGGACUGUCUGGCUGCGACAGAGGCGAGAUGGAGGGGACCUAGGAAUCGUGGUGGCAGUUAUGACGGAAUAUUUAGAGACACAAGGAGGAAGAGCAGAAGAACAAUCUAGAAAACUGGGAGCGGUAAGAAGCCAAGAACAGCUCACAGAAGUCGUGGAGCCCAAGCAAAUUCAAAGAAGUCGAACACUCAGCCAGGAGGCAUCUCCCGGGACCUCUUGGGUUUUGGAAAACUCUUGACGUCGCAUGCUGACCCACCAGACCACUGCAAGCUCAGGACACAGCCAGCUCCGUAGUACCAAGAGUGGACCUGACCGGCUUCUGGGCAGCAGAUCCAGGGUCACUGGAGGAACAGGAAGCAAUUGCUGGAACUGUGGGUCUUAGUUUCGCGGCGGCGUGGUCAUUCAAGCUUGAACAGCAUGGGACUCUCCACACCAUCGCGGUGCCGAGAAAAGUAGCUUCGUGUCAAUUUCACCCUAACUUCCCAGUUUAGGAAAACCCUAGCACGAAUGUAAAUAGACACACUCACGCACACACACACAGUCCCCUCCCUAUGGAACUGGGGGAUGGACGCAGAUCCUUCCCCGGGGGCUGGUUGAUCAGUCCAUUCUCCGGGCCACAUCCUGUAAUGAACUCGGAAUCUUUUUGUCCUUGGCUCAGUCCUCUAAACUAGCCCCCUUCCAUGGACCCGUCAAUCUGAAUUUCUAAACAGAAGCCACAGCAGCACUCUUUGGGUAACACCGACAGAGGGCAACCCUCUGGGGAUCCCAGGGCUUCGGCGUUUAGGAUUAUUUACUGGAGGUACGCUGGGAAAAGACGGGAAAACUAGGUCCCAGGUAAUGAACUGUGCCUAAUAAAAAGCUCUAUGUGUACCUUACUAAUGUUAGGGUACGGAGUCAACCACCCCUCAAUUAGACAGAGAACACUCUCGACAAUGCAAGUCACACAGUGAGGUUUAUUUCCAGCUCGCUGGGGUCCAAGUAUCCGCCCGGCACAGUGGGUUUCAACAAGGCCCCCGAGCACUCCAAGCCAAGGGUUUAUAUAGCAUUUUCAAGGCACUUUUUCACAGCUACAUACAUAUCCUGCGCCCCACUUUGACAGUUUAACUUUGUUUAACCUUUUGCCACCCCUGCAUCACCCUGGCGCCAUCCUGGCGGUUAAGUGAGAUUUAGGUUUAGAAGAAAUUUAACUUUAUUUACAUUUCCUUCUGCCUCCGCCUCCUUCAGUUUUGUGGGGAGGGCGACCUUAGGCCUUGAGGAACUGAGCUACUUGUCUCUGGAAAUUGGGCCAUUGAAGAGAUAGCCUUUUUAUUGUAAAUCACCAGGACAUUAAACUGUUAGCAACACAGUUAGCAAAUCAGAUUUACCUGGAGGCCAGGCUGAGGGUGGGCAGGGGGUGCAUCUGCGGGUCUCUGAGUCAGCAGGUGCCGGCCGAGGACUUCCACUGAUAAAAAGUUCCCGGUGAUGCCGCUGAGGCUGGUCUCGAGACCACACUUUGAGAACCUCUGGGUUCUAGGCCUCCCCGCCCAUCUACUCGCAAAAAUCACGUGAUUAAGGAGACUAGUGAAAGGUUAAAACCAGCCCAUUUACAUUUCUGAAUUCAGGCCAGAAAAGUGUUAUUUUAAAAAUGGA